rnacentral:misc_RNA from 1 species
GGAGGUCGAGAACGACCCCCUUCGGUGUUUGGAACAGCUGAAGGAGGUGGAGGCGGCUCUUCCUGUUGAGGAGGAGAUCGGACAGCUUCAGUGAUCGGCGGCCCCGAAGGUCGGGACGGGCCUCCUUGCGUCUCCCCUGGUUCAUGGCCAGGAGUUUGAAGUAGGGCCGAACGCUUCAUCUCCUUUAUUUUCCGGGAAAUCUCUCUCUCCUUCUUCCGCUUCCUGGAACCUUCACCACCCGCCAUACCUACACAAAAAAGAGGUCAGUGAGAUCGAUAAGGUCCAAAGAUCUGAGAAAUAGAAAAUACCGAUGCCAAGAUCAGAGAGCUGAAGCCCGCGCUUUUCGCCCGUGAUCAACUCCAUCGUCCAAUGAUGCAGCUCGGUAGUCACCGCAUCUAAACAGGAGUACUUUUGGGUGGCAGCUUGAUUCUUCAGCUCCAGCACUAUUAGGCUUUCCUCCUUGUUCAGGGUAAUACGCUUCGGAAUCAAGGGCCCCUGGUGCCACCAGCUACGGGGGAAGUCCUCGAAGCAGGUCGGAUUUUUGCUCCUCAGAAUGAAGAAGCGGUUCUUCCAAUUCUUAAGGGAGGAGGGCAGAUCGGUAAAGAGCCCACAAUGAGGCUUCGCCUGAAAAAACCAGUGCUCAUCGUCCUUUCGGCGAGUUAGC